rnacentral:rRNA from 1 species
ACGAACGCUGGCGGCGUGCUUAACACAUGCAAGUCGAACGGGUCUGCCCUGUUUUUUGCGGGGUGGGUCAGUGGCGAACGGGUGAGUAACACGUGAGUAACCUGCCCCUCACUUCUGGAUAACCGCUUGAAAGGGUGGCUAAUACGGGGUGUUCUGGCUGUGCCGCAUGGUGUGGCUGGGAAAGAUUCACUUUUGUGGUGUUUUGGUGGGGGAUGGGCUCGCGGCCUAUCAGCUUGUUGGUGGGGUGAUGGCCUGCCAAGGCUUUGACGGGUAGCCGGCAUGAGAGGGUGGGCGGUCACACUGGGACUGAGAUACGGCCCAGACUCCUGCGGGAGGCAGCAGUGGGGGGUAUUGCACAAUGGGCGGAAGCCUGAUGCAGCGACGUCGCGUGAGGGAUGGAGGCCUUCGGGUUGUGAACCUCUUUCGCCGGUGAAGAAGGUCCUGCUCUUUGUGGUGGGGUUGACGGUAGCCGGGUUAUGAAGCGCCGGCUAACUACGUG